CGCGGAGUAGAGCAGUUCGGUAGCUCGUCGGGCUCAUAACCCGAAGGUCACAGGUUCAAAUCCUGUCUCCGCAACCA
rnacentral:tRNA from 1 species